rnacentral:rRNA from 1 species
AUUGAACGCUGGCGGCAUGCCUUACACAUGCAAGUCGAACGGUAACGCGGGGCAACCUGGCGACGAGUGGCGAACGGGUGAGUAAUGCAUCGGAACGUGCCCAGAAGUGGGGGAUAGCCCGGCGAAAGCCGGAUUAAUACCGCAUGAGACCUGAGGGUGAAAGCGGGGGAUCGCAAGACCUCGCGCUUUUGGAGCGGCCGAUGUCAGAUUAGCUAGUUGGUGGGGUAAAGGCCUACCAAGGCGACGAUCUGUAGCUGGUCUGAGAGGACGACCAGCCACACGGGGACUGAGGCACGGCCCUGACUCGUGCGGGAGGAAGCAGUGGGGAAUUUUGGACAAUGGGCGCAAGCCUGAUCCAGCCAUGCCGCGUGCGGGAAGAAGGCCUUCGGGUUGUAAACCGCUUUUGUCAGGGAAGAAACGCUCUGGGCUAGUACCCUGGGGUAAUGACGGUACCUGAAGAAUAAGCACCGGCUAACUACGUGCCAGCCGCCGCGGUAA